GAUGAACGCUGACAGAAUGCUUAACACAUGCCAGUCCACUUGAACUUCGGUUUGGGUGGCGGACGGGUGAGUAACGCGUAAAGAACUUGCCUCACAGUUAGGGACAACAUUUGGAAACGAAUGCUAAUACCUGAUAUUAUGAUUUUAGGGCAUCCUAGAAUUAUGAAAGCUAUAUGCGCUGUGAGAGAGCUUUGCGUCCCAUUAGCUAGUUGGAGAGGUAACGGCUCACCAAGGCGAUGAUGGGUAGCCGGCCUGAGAGGGUGAACGGCCACAAGGGGACUGAGACACGGCCCUUACUCCUACGGGAGGCAGCAGUGGGGAAUAUUGGACAAUGGACCAAGAGUCUGAUCCAGCAAUUCUGUGUGCACGAUGAAGUUUUUCGGAAUGUAAAGUGCUUUCAGUUGGGAAGAAAAAAAUGACGAUACCAACAGAAGAAGUGACGGCUAAAUACGUG
rnacentral:rRNA from 1 species